GCCAGGCACAGCAGCAUGUGCACCUUCAGUCCCAGCCACUCAGGAGGCUGAGGCAGAAGGAUCACUUGAGCCCAGGAGUUUGAGACUAGCCUGGGCAAUAUAUUGAGACCCCAUUUCAA
rnacentral:sRNA from 1 species